UGUAUUCACUACUGUAAGUCGCUCUGGAUAAGAGCGUCUACUAAAUGACUAAAA
rfam:Salmo salar isolate Sally breed double haploid chromosome ssa09, whole genome shotgun sequence.